UGACUUCGUAUCACUUGUUAGGAUUAGAAACAUACUGUAACGUCAGCGCACAAGACAUUGCGUAGCGUUCUCCCACGCAGGGCAUGCUGGGAUGCGGG